UAGGUCUGGAGGCAAUGGAGAAGUGACUUGAGGACAUUUGGCUUACCCAAUGCAAGGCAACCCUUCAGGCAAAUAAGUCCUCCAAAAUGGUACAAUGUGAUCUGCCAUACCCUGAGCCUGCCAUUCUUUCUCACUUGCCCUCAUCUAAUUUGGACUUGGAGCCCUCUGAAUUCCAACUGAAUGAAGACCUUGUUUUCUGUGCACACCGAGCUGUCUGAACAUUUGGAAAAAAACGUUGGCCUUGCAUGGACACUGAGUAGAACAAAAUAAACAACAAGCCAUCCCUCUGUCGAAGAAGACAAUAUUCUGCCCAAUCUCCAGCUUAGAAGAACACACAAGACUCUGUCUUCCUAAGGACCAGCAAGGAUUUGAACUCUGACGAGGUUCCUUGUAUCUCAUUGCUGAACUUAUUUUGUUAUCCUAAGA